UUGGGAGGCCAACUGAGUGAGUUCCAGUUUAUGGUUUUGGCAUAUGACAGGACUCUUACUUUUCCACUGUUUAAAUUUCAAAGGUUGCUUUGGCCAAGAAAAGAAAAUCAGAGUUUGUUUUACUUUUGGCCCUUCGUUAUGUAGAAAGGGACCUCUAUUCUUUGGUGUAUCAGAAACGGACAAAGGAAAAGCCCAAUCCGACAGCCGAAACAGUUUAAUUCACUGGUCAUUGAUGUCUGCUCAAUCUAACAUAGGACUCCACGAACUCUAAAGGCCUGUCGAAAAUAUCUUCCUUGAAAAUCCUGAAACAGGUUGAGGCUCCCGGUCCCAUCAAGCAGCCCAUUCCCUGUUCCUUCUCUUCUUAUUCAGGGUUUUAACCUGAUACCUUUUACACCUUUACCAAAUAUACUAUACUCUUUUUCUUUCCGUUUAUAAAAAAAAAAAAAAAAACAACAAACAUUCCCUGCAAUGACUUCUGAAUCCUUCACCUUACGCUUCUCUCCAUCCCUGAAAACUCUGCUAAAUUCCAAGUUUCCGGGAGACCCUUUGCCUUGUUUCGCAACACCCUUUUUGAAAAAUCCAUGUUCAAGCUUUGAUGGGCUUUCUUUGAAGAGAAAAACGUUGAGUUUUAGUGAGAGAAUUAAUAGGUUCGGAGGGAAAUUUGGAAUCUUUAAUGCUUGGAAAAAAGAUGAGUAUUUGGAAGAGUUGGAUGAUGCGCCAUUGGCUGUUGAGUUGCAGCAAAUAUGCAGUGAGAGUCAGUUUGAUAGAGUUAUUGCUGAGGCUCAACAACUUGAGGAGUCUUUGAUUAUACUUUGGAUGGCAAGCUGGUGCAGAAAAUGUAUAUAUUUGAAACCAAAACUGGAAAAGUUGGCAGCUGAAUACUAUCCAAGAUUAAGGUUUUACCGUGUAGAUGUAAAUACAGUUCCACACAACCUUGUUGCUCGCGCUGGAGUCACGGAUGGGACAAGAUCUAAUUUCUAAACAGGAGUAGUAUGAAGCUGUGACAAAGUUUUUACAGGAAUCAGUCUGGUUUUUCCCUCUUACUAUAAUUUCCCAUCAUUCCUCUCUACCUCUUUCUGAUCCUCCCAAACUGGUUUCUCUAUCUGCCUCUUAGAAGAGUUGGUACACUUUAGUUGGGAUAUGAAUUGUUAACUUUAAGGCAUGCAGAAAUGUAUUAUGAAUCAAUUAGCUAAGAAAUGAGUAGUAAUUGAGAUUCCUUCACCUUAAACUGAAGAUUCUGAAACUUUCUCUAGUUCUUCUCAAGAAUAAUUGGGACAUCAUUGUCUGUUAGAGACUUAUUAUGGAAUUAUUUAUUUUUAUCGUUACACGAUAACAGAUGGCUUGGUUAGAUCCUGGCAAUGGCUUGCUGCCUGUGAGCUCUGUUAGUUCCUUUAUAGUCUCCACUGGAUUAGUACCAAUUUCAAUGUCAUGAAAGCUUAGAUUCUGAAGCUGUAUAUCCUACAACUGUUUUUAUACCAGCUCUCAAAGAGACAGGGAAAAAUACUAACAUUUUAGAAAUGAUGUUGCAAAUACAAUGAUCUUAUUCAUAUCCUUGAAUGUUCUUUGACAUUUCCUCAUUUUGCUUUUACACUUUCCCGCUAUGAGUUUGUAGGAUCUUUAAUAUUUCCAUGCGUGAUUUUAAUUAGUACUAUAGUGAUGCAAUUAUAAUUGACUUAAUUAUACCUUUUUUACAUGUUUCAAUGCCGUUGACUACAACACUGCAGAAAAUGCCAACUAUACAGCUAUGGAGGGAUAGCAAGAAACAGGCUGAGGUGAUUGGUGGCCACAAAGCAUAUUUGGUUGUUAAUGAAGUACGCGAAAUGAUUGAAAACGAGUGUACCACAUGAGUAAUAGCACAGCAGGCAACUUUUCA